rnacentral:rRNA from 1 species
GGCGGCGUGCUUAACACAUGCUUUUUCGAACGGAAAGGCCCUGCUUUUGUGGGGUGCUCGAGUGGCGAACGGGUGAGUAACACGUGAGUAACCUGCCCUUGACUUUGGGAUAACUUCAGGAAACUGGGGCUAAUACCGGAUAGGAGCUCCUGCUGCAUGGUGGGGGUUGGAAAGUUUCGGCGGUUGGGGAUGGACUCGCGGCUUAUCAGCUUGUUGGUGGGGUAGUGGCUUACCAAGGCUUUGACGGGUAGCCGGCCUGAGAGGGUGACCGGCCACAUUGGGACUGAGAUACGGCCCAGACUCCUACGGGAGGCAGCAGUGGGGAAUAUUGCACAAUGGGCGGAAGCCUGAUGCAGCAACGCCGCGUGCGGGAUGACGGCCUUCGGGUUGUAAACCGCUUUCGCCUGUGACGAAGCGUGAGUGACGGUAAUGGGUAAAGAAGCACCGGCUAACUACGUGCCAGCAGCCGCGGUGAUACGUAGGGUGCGAGCGUUGUCCGGAUUUAUUGGGCGUAAAGGGCUCGUAGGUGGUUGAUCGCGUCGGAAGUGUAAUCUUGGGGCUUAACCCUGAGCGUGCUUUCGAUACGGGUUGACUUGAGGAAGGUAGGGGAGAAUGGAAUUCCUGGUGGAGCGGUGGAAUGCGCAGAUAUCAGGAGGAACACCAGUGGCGAAGGCGGUUCUCUGGGCCUUUCCUGACGCUGAGGAGCGAAAGCGUGGGGAGCGAACAGGCUUAGAUACCCUGGUAGUCCACGCUGUAAACGGUGGGUACUAGGUGUGGGGUCCAUUCCACGGGUUCCGUGCCGUAGCUAACGCUUUAAGUACCCCGCCUGGGGAGUACGGCCGCAAGGCUAAAACUCAAAGGAAUUGACGGGGCCCCGCACAGGCGGCGGAGCAUGCGGAUUAAUUCGAUGCAACGCGUAGAACCUUACCUGGGUUUGACAUGGAUCGGGAGUGCUCAGAGAUGGGUGUGCCUCUUUUGGGGUCGGUUCACAGGUGGUGCAUGCCUGUCGUCAGCUCGUGUCGUGAGAUGUUGGGUUAAGUCCCGCAACGAGCGCAACCCUUGUUCACUGUUGCCAGCACGUUAUGGUGGGGACUCAGUGGAGACCGCCGGGGUCAACUCGGAGGAAGGUGGGGAUGACGUCAAGUCCUCAUGCCCCUUAUGUCCAGGGCUUCACGCAUGCUACAAUGGCUGGUACAGAGAGUGGCGAGCCUGUGAGGGUGAGCGAAUCUCGGAAAGCCGGUCUCAGUUCGGAUUGGGGUCUGCAACUCGACCUCGUGAAGUCGGAGCCGCUAGUAAUCGCAGAUCAGCAACGCUGCGGUGAAUAAAUUGCCCGGGGCU